rnacentral:misc_RNA from 1 species
AAGUCGUAACAAGGUUUCCGUAGGUGAACCUGCGGAAGGAUCAUUAUCGAAACCCGAUCGUCCGGGAGGGGGAAACCCCCCUUCCGGGCUUUCGACCCUUUCAACACCCUUGUGCACUCGCUGUAGGUCCCUCGGGAUCUACGUCUCCCUUCGAACUCGCAUGUCUACAGAAUGUAUGCUUCGCGUCUCGGCCUCGACCCCCAGGGUCCCGCGUCGAAGACCGUAAAAAUCAAUACAACUUUCAGCAACGGAUCUCUUGGCUCUC